UUGAUGAAACGCAGGAAUCAGGCGAAACUCCUCGAUCACAACAUGACUUUGACGUCCACACUGAAGAUAAAAAUGUUGAUGAGCCCGAGGAACUUACACAAGUAAACAAAGCUCUUCUAACUUACGUAUUGCCGAAAUUCGGAGUACCUUAAUACCGGAGUACCUGGAGUACUUUAAUACCGAAGACUCGGUACUAAAGUAACUUACCUCAACAAAAUCGACAGUCCAUUGGUCCAUUAAUAUAAAUUCAAAAAGUUCCUUGUCCAUUUUUAAAUUCAGAUAAUCAUAACUGGGACAAAAACUUUCUUUAUCGUCGAGACCUCACACUGUAUUGCAUCCUGAAACCACUUCCAGUGUAGGAGCGCAGGCAAAGUUUACUGAAUAAAAUACAAGUUGGUUCACUCGGCUCCACGCGCCGAAUUACCUAUUCACCGCCCCUCACUUCGUUUGCCGGGCGACGCUCCUACAAUCGAAUCUGUUGGGUUACACAGUGAGUAGAGUUUAAAUCGUUUUGAAGUGCGAGCGUUUUAUUACUAGUUGUACCGGGUGGACUCAGUGGACUGGCAAAUUAUUAUAAUCUAUUAUAUUAAAAUGUCGACUUAUUGUUCGGUAGACAGCUGUUUUUUCAAAGCGUGGAAGUGGUUUUGAUGUUUUUCAGAUGUCCGAAAAAUAAAAAUAGGUAAGUACAUUAGAAUUAGUUGUUUAUUAAAUUUAUAAUUGCAUUCCUAGUUACUUUAUGAUCUGGUUCCUGUUUCUUUUUUUAAAUUAAUAUAAAAAAUGGAUUAUAGGUGCCAACUCUGGAAAGGUAUUUUGGGAUUUACUGGUGAACAUAGAUAUGCCGAUCUUACUCCGGAACAAUGUUAUAAAAGGUUAACAUUGUUCCGGAGUAUUCUUAAUAAUUCUUAAGUAAUUCUUAAUAUCUGUAGCUUGCAUUUUGCGGAGAGCAGUUUUAUGUCCCCUUCAAAUCAACGUCUUAGACCCGACGCAAUUCCUACAUUGUUCCUGACCAGAGCAUCGACAAGUAUGUUUUAUGUUUUCUUCUAAUUUGUGCACUUAUAAUGGAAAUAUGUAUGAUGUAAGAUGGUACCUUUUAAUAUUUGCAAUUUUUGGUGUAUAGGAAAAUCAGAAUUAUUUACAAAUUUACGUACUAUUUUUCCAGGCACAGAUAAUUCUAACAUCAUUGCAAGUCACACAUUAAGGAAGGAAUUCAGUGACGCUUCCGUGCAAACUGACACUCCGAUGCAGGUUAAUGUUUCUGUCCAGACGGAUGUAUGUAAUAAUACAGAUAAGUUCUGUCGAACGUUAAUGAAGAUUUCGGCAAUUUCGACUCCAAGAAAAAUUCAAUUAAGAAAAGAAAUUAAAACUCUGGAAAAGGAAGGCUCUCACGCAAAAAGAUCCCUGGAAGUAGGAGUUACUUUGGACGAUGUUCAAAAAUUCCUAGAUGACAAAAAUAUUACGGUUAAUUAAUUAUGUAAUGACAUUUUUCACCUCUAUUUAAAAUUGCACAAGAGCGACGAAACAACACGUAUAGAUAUAGAAAAUUAUUUGUACACUACACAAUCCUUUCUCCAUCCUUUUCUCUCUCACUACUAAUUUUAAAACAAUAAA